rnacentral:lncRNA from 1 species
UCAUCCUCCUUCUUAUCUCCAUAUACCGUCGUUGCCACCUUCGACGAUGAACCUUCUUUCCCCGAAAAUGCGGAUCUCACGAAUGACCUAGAACAAAAAUGUUUUAGCGUCAAUAAAGUCGAUCCCUAACCUCAAAUUUGAAAAUGAUCGUCUCAAAAGAGCUUACAUUGCUCUUCAAGCGUGGAAAAAAGCCAUUUACUCGGACCCGUUUAAGACUACAGCCAAUUGGGUUGGUUCUGAUGUGUGUUCUUACAAUGGAGUUUAUUGUGCACCUGCUCUAGAUGAUGAUAGCCUCACGGUCGUAGCUGGAGUUGAUCUUAAUCACGCG